rnacentral:rRNA from 1 species
CCUAUCAGGCUGUAGUGGGUGUAAUGGACCCACUAGCCCGUGACGGAUAUGGGCCUUGAGAGAGGGAGCCCAGAGAUGGACUCUGAGACAUGAGUCCAGGCCCUACGGGGCGCAGCAGUCGCGAAAACUUCGCAAUGGGGGCAACCCCGACGAGGGAAUUCCAAGUGCUAGCACUCUGUGUUAGCUGUUCUUCUGUCUAAAAAACAGGAGGAGUAAGGGGCGGGUAAGACGGGUGCCAGCCGCCGCGGUAAUACCCGCGCCCCAAGUGGUGGUCGAUAUUAUUGAGCCUAAAACGUCCGUAGCCGGUCUUCUAAAUCCUUGGGUAAAUCGGGCAGCUUAACUGUCCGAAGUCCGGGGAGACUGGGAGACUUGGGACCGGGAGAGGUCAGAGGUACUUCUGGGGUAGGGGUAAAAUCCUGUAAUCCUGGAAGGACCACCGGUGGCGAAGGCGUCUGACUAGAACGGAUCCGACGGUGAGGGACGAAGCCCUGGGGCGCAAACGGGAUUAGAUACCCCGGUAGUCCAGGGUGUAAACGCUGCGGGCUUGGUGUUGGGGGUCCUUAGUGGGCGCCCAGUGCCGGAGAGAAGUUGUUAAGCCUGCUGCUUGGGGAGUAUGUCCGCAAGGAUGAAACUUAAAGGAAUUGGCGGGGGAGCACA